AUGCAUCAGGGGACAAUCUUGUCAACCUUCAUCUUGUUGAUCCAGGUAUUGAAGGACCUGACCGUGUUCCGGAACCCGAAGAAUCCAUACUCCUUGCUCUUGUUCAUGGUGUCCAGGUUCUCCCGCUCCACGUUGACCAUGGCGUCGACGCAGAACCAGUUGGUGAUGUCGUUGAGCUGGGUCUCCACGAGCCCGUUGUCGUUGACGAUCUCCGACCACACGCCCUCCUUCCCGGCCAUGGCCUCCUCCAGCAUGAAGCGCUGGUCCUCCCCCUGGUACCCCGUCCACGCCACGCCGAACUGGUUGGCGAGGAUCGGCCAUAGCUGCUGCCACUUGAAGAGGUCCCCGUUGCUGCAGUUGAAGGGUUCGUUCUUGCCAUUGGGCUCCAUGGCCGCCCAGAGUGCGUGCUCGGCGACGAGCUCCGCGUCGGAGGCGUCGCUGAAGCCCUCCCAGGCGACACGGGAUCCUGGCCAGCGCAGCACGAGGCCCUCCUUGCCGCAGAUGGCGGCGUAG
rnacentral:rRNA from 1 species